GGACAGAGAAGGAAAUCCUGAGUCGGAAUGUGACGAGCUAUGUUAUCUCGAAGCCGUGAUCACUCUGGAACCCGGACGCUGGGACGCCCUUGCUGUAAAAAGAUGCAAUGCUGUGCUGGAUCUGAAACGGGUACUGGCCGUUGUUAGCCCUCGGACCGUACAGAAUGGAAAAUACGACGUGGAUCUUCCCUAGGUUUUCCAGUGGGGGGUCGAAGGAAGAACGGCAGCAUCCCACCGUUUUCUUCCGAGAUCACCCUCUGAUGAAGAUCCAGCCGUGGCCUCGCGAUGUGCAAGCUUCGGGAGCUCCUGGGGGACCUAUCUAUUCCUCGAGCUGG
rnacentral:lncRNA from 1 species